AUUGAACGCUGGCGGCAGGCUUAACACAUGCAAGUCGAGCGGGGAGAUGUAGCUUGCUACAUUUCCUAGCGGCGGACGGGUGAGUAAUGCUUAGGAAUCUGCCUAUUAGUGGGGGACAACGUUUCGAAAGGAACGCUAAUACCGCAUACGCCCUACGGGGGAAAGCAGGGGAUCUUCGGACCUUGCGCUAAUAGAUGAGCCUAAGUCAGAUUAGCUAGUUGGUGGGGUAAAGGCCUACCAAGGCGACGAUCUGUAGCGGGUCUGAGAGGAUGAGCCGCCACACUGGGACUGAGACACGGCCCAGACUCCUACGGGAGGCAGCAGUGGGGAAUAUUGGACAAUGGGGGGAACCCUGAUCCAGCCAUGCCGCGUGUGUGAAGAAGGCCUUUUGGUUGUAAAGCACUUUAAGCGAGGAGGAGGCUACUGAGACUAAUACUCUUAGAUAGUGGACGUUACUCGCAGAAUAAGCACCGGCUAACUCUGUGCCAGCAGCCGCCGUAACAC
rnacentral:rRNA from 1 species